AUUUACCUAUCCAUUCCCAGCAUGAUAACAAUGGGAUGUACAUUCAUGGCCUUCUUAUGGUGAUUUGGAACGAUUGGUUAGAUUUUACUAGGACAUAUUAGUUAAAAUAUGUCAGGAUUUUAGUUUCGAAUUAAACCAGGAAAGUGACAUCUCUUGUUCAGAUUCUUGAUGACCUUCAGAAGUGAAGGAUGGGUUUUAGAGUUCUAC
rnacentral:lncRNA from 1 species